UACGGGGGGAGCAAGCGUUGUCCGGAUUUACUGGGCGUAAAGGGCGCGUAGGCGGUCAGCACAAGUCAGUUGUGAAAUCUCCGGGCUUAACUCGGAAAGGUCAACUGAUACUGUGCGACUAGAGUGCGGAAGGGGCAACUGGAAUUCUCGGUGUAGCGGUGAAAUGCGUAGAUAUCGAGAGGAACACCUGCGGCGAAGGCGGGUUGCUGGGCCGACACUGACGCUGAUGCGCGAAAGCCAGGGGAGCGAAGCGGG
rnacentral:rRNA from 1 species